rnacentral:rRNA from 1 species
GAUGAACGCUGGCGGCGUGCCUAAUACAUGCAAGUAGAACGCUGAAGGAGGAGCUUGCUCUUCUGGAUGAGUUGCGAACGGGUGAGUAACGCGUAGGUAACCUGCCUGGUAGCGGGGGAUAACUAUUGGAAACGAUAGCUAAUACCGCAUGACAACAGUUAUUGCAUGAUAACUGUUUAAAAGGGGCAACUGCUCCACUACCAGAUGGACCUGCGUUGUAUUAGCUAGUUGGUGAGGUAACGGCUCACCAAGGCGACGAUACAUAGCCGACCUGAGAGGGUGAUCGGCCACACUGGGACUGAGACACGGCCCAGACUCCUACGGGAGGCAGCAGUAGGGAAUCUUCGGCAAGGGACGGAAGUCUGACCGAGCAACGCCGCGUGAGUGAAGAAGGGUUUCGGAUCGUAAAGCUCUGUUGUAAGAGAAGAACGAGUGUGAGAGUGGAAAGUUCACACUGUGACGGUAGCUUACCAGAAAGGGACGGCUAACUACGUG